rnacentral:rRNA from 1 species
UAGGGAAUCUUCGGCAAUGGACGAAAGUCUGACCGAGCAACGCCGCGCGAGUGAAGAAGGUUUUCGGAUCGUAAAACUCUGUUGUUAGAGAAGAACAAGGACGUUAGUAACUGAACGUCCCCUGACGGUAUCUAACCAGAAAGCCGCGGCUAACUACGUGCCAGCAGCCGCGGUAAUACGUAGGUGGCAAGCGUUGUCCGGAUUUAUUGGGCGUAAAGCGAGCGCAGGCGGUUUCUUAAGUCUGAUGUGAAAGCCCCCGGCUCAACCGGGGAGGGUCAUUGGAAACUGGGAGACUUGAGUGCAGAAGAGGGGAGUGGAAUUCCAUGUGUAGCGGUGAAAUGCGUAGAUAUAUGGAGGCACACCAGUGGCGAAGGCGGCUCUCUGGUCUGUAACUGACGCUGAGACUAGAAGGCGUGGGGAGCAAACAAG